AUUGAACGCUGGCGGCAGGCCUAACACAUGCAAGUCGAACGAGUGGCGGACGGGUGAGUAAUAUCUGGGAAACUGCCUGAUGGAGGGGGAUAACUACUGGAAACGGUAGCUAAUACCGCAUACCAUCAGAUGUGCCCAGAUGGGAUUAGCUUGUUGGUGGGGUAACGGCUUACCAAGGCGACGCUCCCUAGCUGGUCUGAGAGGAUGACCGUCCACACUGGAGAGGAGACACGGUCCAGACUCCUACGGUAGGCAGCAGUGGGGAAUAGGGCACAAUGGGCGCGAGCCUGAUGCAGCCAUGCCGCGUGUAUGAAGCAGGCCUUCGGGUUGUAAAGUACUUUCAGCGGGUGGGCGUUACCCGCAGAAGAAGCACCGGCUAACUCCGUGCCAGCAGCCGCGGUAAUUC
rnacentral:rRNA from 1 species